rnacentral:rRNA from 1 species
AUCUUCCGCAAUGGACGAAGGUCUGACGGAGCAACGCCGCGUGUAUGAAGAAGGCCUUCGGGUUGUAAAAUACUGUUGUUAGGGAAGAGCGGCAUCUGUGUAAAUAAUGCAGAUGAUUGACGGUACCUAACGAGGAAGCCCCGGCUAACUACGUGCCAGCAGCCGCGGUAAUACGUAGGGGGCGAGCGUUGUCCGGAAUUAUUGGGCGUAAAGGGCGCGUAGGCGGCCAUUUAAGUCUGAUGUGAAAGUGCGGGGCUUAACCCCGUAAAGCAUUGGAAACUGGAUGGCUUGAGGACAGGAGAGGAAAGUGGAAUUCCACGUGUAGCGGUGAAAUGCGUAGAUAUGUGGAGGAACACCAGUGGCGAAGGCGACUUUCUGGACUGUAACUGACGCUGAGGCGCGAAAGCGUGGGGAUCAAACAGGAUUAGAUACCCUGGUAGUCCACGCCGUAAACGAUGAGUGCUAGGUGUAGAGGGUAUCGACCCCUUCUGUGCCGCAGUUAACACAAUAAGCACUCCGCCUGGGGAGUACGGCCGCAAGGUUGAAACUCAAAUGAAUUGACGG